AUCAUAUCGGCUUCGCGUAAUCAUCAUCACCAUCAUCAUCGCUUCCUCCUCUUUCUAAUCCUUCCUUUUCAUGAUCAUUUUUAGUUCAAAUUCUCCCUCACAUCACAUGCCUUCUAUAAUCGCCUUUCUCGAUCCUAAGCGGCACGGGAGGAGCUCCGCAGUAAGUGAUUCUCAUCUCCAAUCUCAGAUCUCCUCUUGCUUCUUCUUCUCGCGAAUCGAGUGAUCUCUGGGCGCAGCGGUUUAUCGAUCUCUUCCUGGCCUUGUUGGUCUGUUUCGUGGUGGUGGGUUUGAUCAGUUUCUUUCUUGCUUUUUGAGGGUACAAAGCUGGAAUCGGUCGAUAAACCUCUGCAUCCAGACUUCCGCAUCCAUCCAUCUCCAGAUCCAUCUUUCCUCCUCCUCUCUGUUUAUCUCUCUUCUUGUGAACAUAAAUUAUCGCGUACUGAGAAAAGGUACAAGUCUGUUGCUAGGGUUGAUUGAUAUGACACAGUUGAAUCAAAUCUCGAUUGAUUGUCGCAGAUUUGAUGUUCGUCAUAUCGCAGCAGAGGAUUUGCAAUCACGACAUCAAGAUUGCAUGCAUUGCAUCUCAAUCACUAGACUAUCCCCUUGAAGACGAUUUCAGAUCAUGAUAAUCAUUUGAGUUUAUGCGGCAACUUCCAAAAGAAUCUGCAUCCAAAUUAUUUUAAAAUGACGUAAUGUACUCCACAAUAGUGAUGUUUAGAUUCUCUGACCUGAUAGAUUGUCUUUCAGCAUAACUUUCGGCCGCUAAUGUGCAGAAAGAAACAAGCUUCUUGUCUUUUUCUGAUUCUGUGAGAUGUCCUUUUUUGCAAUAAAUUCUAAGUUUCAGCCCAUAGAAGACAAAAAUGUGCACAGACUUGAUGGGUUAUCUUACGAUGUGUGUAAUUUUUAGCUGUUAAUGAGCAAACAAAAACUAGCAUCCUUUUUUAUUGUAACUGUGAUGUCCUUUCUUGCAAUAAUAUAGUUUUUGGACUAUAGAAAACAAAAAAUGUGCACAGGGAUGAUUGUGAUGCAUGUCUUUGGCUAUUUUGUGCAAUCCAAGUUAAUUUCAUGGAUAAUUAUUGUUGAAAUGUUUGCUUUGCAUAAAACUAUUGACAAUAAGUUAUUUUUAAU